CUCGUUCUUUUGAUCUAGGCAUGACAGUUGUGAAAAUAUCGACUUGUUGACCGCUUUGUUGAUCUUGUCACAAGAUUUUGUUACCGUAAAAAAUACAGGAUAAAGGAAGGGAUUGUUACAUCUAUGCAGCAACUUGUCAACGAAUAGUCAAGGUCUUGGCGGAUGUUUUGAGCGCACAGUAACAAACACUGGUCUAAGUGUAUCAACGCAGGAAGCUACAAGAUACAUGUGAUUACAUCUGCUGAUCGGAAGGAGUUGCUGAGGAUGUAAAAAACAAGCCAUAUUUUGGGGAAAUGGAGUAGGAAGACGUUGGCUGGUUGCAGUGGCAUUUUAACAGUACCGCAGUAGAUGUUUAGGAAGUGCUGAUAGACAAAGCUAUGAUUACCUAGCAGAGCAAAACAGUUCCGCAAUCCAGAAUUCCAGAAACAAAUGAUGCAUCAUAGUUGGACUAGUGUAAACGGAAUUAAUGCAGUGGACUUUUAUUUGUUGGACAAUCCAUAUUAUUCGUUUGACAAUUGAUUUAUAAAGACACCUGUCAAAAUGUAUUAGGCAGGUAUAAAACAAAAUAAAAGGCUUCUUAUGGUCAACCUUCAUACUAUAGUAGCCUGCUGUCAGAAAAUUACCUCUUACAUUAUUUAGGUAAAAAGUAAAGGUGACAGGUAUCUCAUUACUGCAGACUAUCUGGAAUAAUGAUCUUUCCUCGGACAUUAAAUGUAAAAGCUAAUUGCAGGUGGCCAGUAGAUGAAACCUGUUAUUCUAGCGACCAGUAGGUUUAAGGUCAAGGUCGGGUGAGCGAUUAGGAUCGAUGAAUGUCCGUUGUCCGUCCGUUAAAUUUAGUCUGUUUACACUCUAGCAUCAACAAUUUUAAAGCAAUUUUAAUCAAAAUCAAAGGAAAAUCUUGUAAAAACUCUAGAGGUCACAUUUAUGAACAUAUCUUUCUGAAACUUGGUUAGAAAGUUUAUCUUGACGAUCUUUAGGCAAGUUUCGAAACUGGUUCAAGUGAGGUCAGAAACAAGGUCACUUGGCCAGAUUAAAGGAAAAUCUUGUUAACUCUCUGGAAACCACUUUUUAAAUUUGAAACUCAUGAUAGUCAGAUUUUUUUGUCCUGAUAACUUUUAGGUUAAAUUUGAUUCCGUGUCGAAUCAAAGGAAAACUGUAUGUGUGUGUGUAAUAGGGUGUGCAUUUUACACUGAAUCUUCAUGAAAUUUGAUCAGAAUGUUUACCUUGCUGUAAUCAAGGUCAGCUUUGAAUAUGGGUUAUCUGGGUAAAAAACUAGGUCACCCGAUUAAAUCAAAGAAAACUCUGUGUGUAUGCAAUAGGGGCUGCAUUUUAUACUGGAUCUUUAUAAAAUCUAAUCAGAAUGUUUGUCUUGAUGCAAUCUAGAUCAAGUGUGAAUAUGGGUCAUCUGGGGUCAAAAAAUAGGUAACCCGGUCAAAUAAAAAAGAACAAAACCUUGUGUGCAAUAGAGGCCGCAUUUUUCACUGAUCUUCAUGAAAUUUGAUCAGAAUGUUUGUUUUAAUAAAAUCUAGGUCAAGUUUGAAUUUGUAUCAUCUGGGGUAAAAAAUUAGUUCACCUGGUCGAAACAAAGGAAAACUGUGCGUAUGCAAUGGGGGCUGCAUUUUUCACUGAAUAUUCGGUAAAUUCGAUCAGAAUGUUUGUCUUGAUUAUCUUUAGGCCAAGUUUGAAACUGGGUCAUGUGGGAUCAAAAACAAGGUCAUGAGGCCAGAAUUAAGGAAAAUCUUGUUAACACUCUGGAGACCACAUAAGUUUAAAACUCAUGAGAAUUAGUCAGAAUGUUUGUCUUGAUGACUUCCCGGUGAAAUUUGAAAAGUAGGUUACCCGAUUAAAAAUCAACGAGAAACCUAUAUAUGCAAUAGGGGCAGCAUUUAAAACUAGGUCUUCAUGAAGUUUGAUCAGAAUGUUCGUCUUUAGGAAGUCUAGCUCAAGUAUGAAUAUGGGUCAUCUGGGACUAAAACUGAGUCACCCAUUCAAAUAAAAUAACAUUGUGUUUGCAAUAGGGGCUGCAUUUUUCACUUGAUCAUUAUGAAAUUGGAUCGAUCAGUCUGUCUUGAGGAAAUCUAGGUCAAGUUUGAAUAUGGCUCAACUGGGUUCCAAAACGUGGUACCUGGUCGAAUCAAAGGAAAACUGUGUGUAUGCAAUAGGGGCUGCAUUUUAGCUCACCUGUCACAAUGUGAGCUUUUGUGAUCGUCCGUCCACUAUUGCUUGUGAACAUGAUAGAGACCUCAGUUUGCAAUC